rnacentral:rRNA from 1 species
UGGGGAAUUUUGGACAAUGGGCGCAAGCCUGAUCCAGCAGUGCCGCGUGCAGGAUGAAGGCCUUCGGGUUGUAAACUGCUUUUGUACGGAACGAAAAGCCUCUCUCUAAUACAGGGGGGUGAUGACGGUACCGUAAGAAUAAGCACCGGCUAACUACGUGCCAGCAGCCGCGGUAAUACGUAGGGUGCAAGCGUUAAUCGGAAUUACUGGGCGUAAAGCGUGCGCAGGCGGUUUUGUAAGACAGUGGUGAAAUCCCCGGGCUCAACCUGGGAACUGCCAUUGUGACUGCAAGGCUGGAGUGCGGCAGAGGGGGAUGGAAUUCCGCGUGUAGCAGUGAAAUGCGUAGAUAUGCGGAGGAACACCGAUGGCGAAGGCAAUCCCCUGGGCCUGCACUGACGCUCAUGCACGAAAGCGUGGGGAGCAAAACAGGAUUAGAUACCCUGGUAGUCCACGCCCUAAACGAUGUCAACUGGUUGUUGGGGAUUUAUUUCUUCAGUAACGAAGCUAACGCGUGAAGUUGACCGCCUGGGGGAGUA